CCUACGGGAGGCAGCAGUGGGGGAUAUUGCACAAUGGGGGGAACCCUGAUGCAGCGACGCCGCGUGGGUGAAGGAGUGCUUCGGCAUGUAAAGCCCUAUCGGCAGGGAAGAAGCAAGACGGUACCUGACUAAGAAGCACCGGCUAACUACGUGCCAGCAGCCGCGGUAAUACGUAGGGGGCGAGCGUUAUCCGGAUUCACUGGGUGUAAAGGGAGCGUAGACGGCCAUGCAAGCCAGGGGUGAAAGCCCGGGGCCCAACCCCGGGACUGCCCUUGGAACUGUGCGGCUAGAGUGCGGGAGGGGCAGGCGGAAUUCCUGGGGUAGCGGUGAAAUGCGUAGAGAUCAGGAGGAACACCGGCGGCGAAGGCGGCCUGCUGGACCGCGACUGACGUUGAGGCUCGAAAGCGUGGGGAGCGAACAGGAUUAGAUACCCCAGUAGUC
rnacentral:rRNA from 1 species